AUCCAACUGACCAGUCUCAAAUAGAACGAAACAUGUGUCCUGGAU
rfam:Schistosoma rodhaini strain Burundi genome assembly, scaffold: SROB_scaffold0001699